rnacentral:rRNA from 1 species
AUUGAACGCUGGCGGAAUGCUUUACACAUGCAAGUCGAGCGGCAGCACGGGGGCAACCCUGGUGGCGAGCGGCGAACGGGUGAGUAAUACAUCGGAACAUACCCAGUCGUGGGGGAUAACACUUCGAAAGAAGUGCUAAUACCGCAUACGUCCUGAGGGAGAAAGCGGGGGAUCGCAAGACCUCGCGCCAUUGGAGUGGCCGAUGUCAGAUUAGCUAGUUGGUGGGGUAAAGGCCUACCAAGGCAACGAUCUGUAGCUGGUCUGAGAGGAUGAUCAGCCACACUGGGACUGAGACACGGCCCAGACUCCUACGGGAGGCAGCAGUGGGGAAUUUUGGACAAUGGGGGCAACCCUGAUCCAGCCAUUCCGCGUGAGUGAAGAAGGCCUUCGGGUUGUAAAGCUCUUUCGGCAGGAACGAAACGGCGAGCUCUAACAUAGCUUGCUAAUGACGGUACCUGAAGAAGAAGCACCGGCUAACUACGUGCCAGCCGCCGCCGUAAUAC